GACGAACGCUGGCGGCGUGCUUAACACAUGCAAGUCGAACGGUGAAGCGCCUUCCUUUUUGGUGGGUGUGGAUGAGUGGCGAACGGGUGAGUAACACGUGAGUAACCUGCCCCCUUCUUCUGGAUAACCGCAUGAAAGUGUGGCUAAUACGGGAUAUUCUGGGUCUGUCGCAUGAUGGGUCUGGGAAAGAUAUUGUUUCGGUGGGGGAUGGGGUCGCGGCCUAUCAGCUUGUUGGUGGGGUGAUGGCCUACCAAGGCGGUGACGAGUAGCCGGCCUGAGAGGGUCGACGGCACCACUGGAGAGGAGACGCGGCCACGACUCCUACAGGAAGCAGCAGUGGAGAAUACUGCACAGGCGGAGGAAGCCUGAUGCAGCGACGCCGCGGGGGGGAUGGAGUCCGGCGGGUUGUGAACCUCUUUCGCGAGUGAAGCAGGCCUGCCUCGUCUGUGGGUGGGUUGACGGUAGCUGGAUAAGAAGCGCCGGCUAACUACGUG
rnacentral:rRNA from 1 species